GUAAGCUACUAAGAGCGAAUGGUGGAUGCCUUGACUGGUAAAGGCGAUGAAGGACGUACUAGACUGCGAUAAGCUACGGGGAGCUGUCAAGAAGCUUUGAUCCGUAGAUUUCCGAAUGGGGCAACCCAAUGUAUAGAGAUAUACAUUACCUAUAUAGGAGCGAACGAGGGGAAUUGAAACAUCUUAGUACCCUCAGGAAAAGAAAUCAAUAGAGAUUGCGUCAGUAGCGGCGAGCGAAAGCGUAAGAGGGCAAACCCAGUGCUUGCACUGGGGGUUGUAGGACUGCAAUGUGCAAGAGGUGAGUUUAGCAGAACAUUCUGGAAAGUAUAGCCAUAGAGGGUGAUAGUCCCGUAUGCGAAAAACAAACCUUAGCUAGCAGUAUCCUGAGUAGGGCGGGACACGAGAAAUCCUGUCUGAAGCUGGGUCGACCACGAUCCAACCCUAAAUACUAAUACCAGAUCGAUAGUGCACAAGUACCGUGAGGGAAAGGUGAAAAGAACUGAGGUGAUCAGAGUGAAAUAGAACCUGAAACCAUUUGCUUACAAUCAUUCAGAGCACUAUGUAGCAAUACAGUGUGAUGGACUGCCUUUUGCAUAAUGAGCCUGCGAGUUGUGGUGUCUGGCAAGGUUAAGCAAACGCGAAGCCGUAGCGAAAGCGAGUCUGAAUAGGGCGCUUAGUCAGAUGCUGCAGACCCGAAACGAAGUGAUCUAUCCAUGAGCAAGUUGAAGCUAGUGUAAGAACUAGUGGAGGACUGAACCCAUAGGCGUUGAAAAGCCCCGGGAUGACUUGUGGAUAGGGGUGAAAGGCCAAUCAAACUUCGUGAUAGCUGGUUCUCUCCGAAAUAUAUUUAGGUAUAGCGUUGUGUCGUAAUAUAAGGGGGUAGAGCACUGAAUGGGCUAGGGCAUACACCAAUGUACCAAACCCUAUCAAACUCCGAAUACCUUAUAUGUAAUCACAGCAGUCAGGCGGCGAGUGAUAAAAUCCGUCGUCAAGAGGGAAACAACCCAGACUACCAGCUAAGGUCCCUAAAUCUUACUUAAGUGGAAAACGAUGUGAAGUUACUUAAACAACCAGGAGGUUGGCUUAGAAGCAGCCAUCCUUUAAAGAAAGCGUAAUAGCUCACUGGUCUAGUGAUUUUGCGCGGAAAAUAUAACGGGGCUAAAGUAAGUACCGAAGCUGUAGACUUGAUUUUAUCAAGUGGUAGGAGAGCGUUCUAUUUGCGCCGAAGGUAUACCGGUAAGGAGUGCUGGAGCGAAUAGAAGUGAGCAUGCAGGCAUGAGUAGCGAUAAUUAAUGUGAGAAUCAUUAACGCCGUAAACCCAAGGUUUCCUACGCGAUGCUCGUCAUCGUAGGGUUAGUCGGGUCCUAAGUCGAGUCCGAAAGGGGUAGACGAUGGCAAAUUGGUUAAUAUUCCAAUACCAACAUUAGUGUGCGAUGGAAGGACGCUUAGGGCUAAGGGGGCUAGCGGAUGGAAGUGCUAGUCUAAGGUCGUAGGAGGUUAUACAGGCAAAUCCGUAUAACAAUACUCCGAGAACUGAAAGGCUUUUUGAAGUCUUCGGAUGGAUAGAAGAACCCCUGAUGCCGUCGAGCCAAGAAAAGUUUCUAAGUUUAGCUAAUGUUGCCCGUACCGUAAACCGACACAGGUGGGUGGGAUGAGUAUUCUAAGGCGCGUGGAAGAACUCUCUUUAAGGAACUCUGCAAAAUAGCACCGUAUCUUCGGUAUAAGGUGUGGUUCGCUUCGUAUUAGGAUUUACUCCGAAAGCGAAGAAACUUACAACAAAGAGUCCCUCCCGACUGUUUACCAAAAACACAGCACUCUGCUAACUCGUAAGAGGAUGUAUAGGGUGUGACGCCUGCCCGGUGCUCGAAGGUUAAUUGAUGGGGUUAGCAUUAGCGAAGCUCUUGAUCGAAGCCCGAGUAAACGGCGGCCGUAACUAUAACGGUCCUAAGGUAGCGAAAUUCCUUGUCGGUUAAAUACCGACCUGCAUGAAUGGCGUAACGAGAUGGGAGCUGUCUCAAAGAGGGAUCCAGUGAAAUUGUAGUGGAGGUGAAAAUUCCUCCUACCCGCGGCAAGACGGAAAGACCCCGUGGACCUUUACUACAGCUUGACACUGCUAUUUGGAUAAGAAUGUGCAGGAUAGGUGGGAGGCUUUGAGUAUAUGACGCCAGUUGUAUAUGAGCCAUUGUUGAGAUACCACUCUUUCUUAUUUGGGUAGCUAACCAGCUUGAGUUAUCCUCAAGUGGGACAAUGUCUGGUGGGUAGUUUGACUGGGGCGGUCGCCUCCCAAAUAAUAACGGAGGCUUACAAAGGUUGGCUCAGAACGGUUGGAAAUCGUUCGUAGAGUAUAAAGGUAUAAGCCAGCUUAACUGCAAGACAUACAAGUCAAGCAGAGACGAAAGUCGGUCUUAGUGAUCCGGUGGUUCUGUGUGGAAGGGCCAUCGCUCAAAGGAUAAAAGGUACCCCGGGGAUAACAGGCUGAUCUCCCCCAAGAGCUCACAUCGACGGGGAGGUUUGGCACCUCGAUGUCGGCUCAUCGCAUCCUGGGGCUGGAGCAGGUCCCAAGGGUAUGGCUGUUCGCCAUUUAAAGCGGUACGCGAGCUGGGUUCAGAACGUCGUGAGACAGUU
rnacentral:rRNA from 1 species